AGUUGUUGGUCAGCAGGGUGAAGGGCAGGGGACUACACACACCUCCGCAGGUCUCUUGUGCUCAAUUUGAUGGUGCUGAAGGUGUUAUUGCUGAUUUGUACAGUGUGUGGUCUCUCACUGAGGAAAACCAGCAGCCAGUAUCACAGUGAGUUGUUGAGUCCUAGCUGGUCCAGUUUGAUGAUGAUUUGUUGUGGAAUAAUAGUGUUGAAAGCUGAACUGAAGUUUAUGAUGAGGCAAAGGUGAAGGAACGAAGAGGGAUAGUGCAGAAGGAGAUUCGGGCAGUGGAGGAAGAGGAUAGACAAGCCAAGGCAGUAGCCAUGAGACAGCAGGGCAGAUGGACCCGGUGGGACGGUGUCCGGGGACUAUCGCUCGGUUGGAAGGACAUCUGGAGUAUGGAGGGGCACCGGAUAAAGUUCCUCCUGAGCUCUGUCUACAAUGUACUCCCAACACCAACAAACCUCCAAAGAUGGAGAUUGACAGAGGAUCCCUUCUGUGCGCAGUGCAAGAGACCAGCAAACCUGGAGCACAUCCUGUCGUCCUGCCGAGCAGGCCUGACUGAGGGAGGUUCAGGUGGCGCCAUGAUCAGGUGCUGGCGCAACUCGCCGAUGGUCUGGAAAAGGAGAGGAAGUGAAAAGGAACAAAGGCCCAAGACAAAGGCCCCCGCUUCAUCAGUUUUCUCAGGCCUGGCGAGAAGGCAGGCAAGGAGGACAGAUGUGCAGGGAUCCUUGGUACGGCAAAGGAAUGGGAAAUGAGAGUUGACCUGGGAAGGCAACUCAAAUUCCCAGAGGAGAUCGCCGUCACCAGCCUCCGGUUGGAUAUCGUGCUCUGGUCCCAGAUAACAAAGCAGGUGGCCCUGAUUGAGCUAACGGUACCCUGGGAGGAAAGAAUCGAGGAGGCACAUGAGCGUAAGCUGGGGAAAUACCAUGAUCUCAUUUCCGAGAGCCAGCAGAGGGGGUGGAGAGCCUGGAAUCUACCAGUCGAGGUUGGCUGCAGGGGCUUCCCUGGACAGUCACUUUGGAGAACACUGGGGAUGCUCGGCCUCACAGGGGCAACCCGUAAGAACCUGGUGAACAAUAUCUCAAAGCAGGCAGAGUCAGCAUCCAGAUGGCCGUGGCUAAAGAGGAACGACCAGUGGCUGAACCAGGCUGGCAGAGAGGGGUGUCAGAGCUGAGUGGGGAAGACCUGUGUGGCUGAGGGGGCAGCUCCAGGACGCUGGUGCUGUUGUCAAGCCCCACCGUGGUGUCGUGGGCUAGUUGACGAAACACCAGGAAAACGGGGGGUGCCCACUUGAAAACCCGGUGAAGCCUCAAGGUCUGAAGCACACAGCUCUGACACCAGUUGUGUUUUGUUAGGAGGGAGCGACUUCUACGCUAGCCACCACACAUAAGGAACAGGAGGUAACUCCUACUAAGGGUGGUGGCUGCGAUACCUAUCGUUUUAAAGACCAUAAUCAGCAUUCUUACAUAUGAGUCCUUAGUGUCCAGGUGGGUGAGAGCAGGGUGGAGAGCAGCACUGUAUUCAUCCUCAGUUGACUGGUUGGCUCAGUUUGCUAACUGGAAUGGGUCCUGUGUGGAGGGGAAGAUGGAUUUUAUAUGAGACAUGACUAACUGUUCAAAGCACUUCAUGAUGAUGGGGUUGAGUGUGACAAGGCGGUCAUCAUUAACUGAGAUUGGAGUGGACUUCUUUUGCAUGGGUAUGCAGGUGGUGGUUUUGGAGCAUGCUAGAACAACAGCCUGGCUCUGGGAAGUCUUACAGAUGUCUGUUGUUAGGAUACAUUGUAAAUAUAGAAAUGGUUUGACGGAGCUGCAUUAAGAAUUAAUUAUUGUGCCCCUUGAAGUCAUGUACUGAUGGAUAACAGGAAGAAGGAUAAAAGCUCCAGGGAGGCUGCAGAUCACCCUGUAUAAAGAACGGUAUCCAUAGUAUGAAGGUUUUAGCUUUGGCUUCUCUUGACAUUUGGUAAGUAAGGUGUCUUCAACUAAAAAAAGAUGUUUGUGUCCUGUUUUUGAAGGAUGUCGCACCCAUGGUUGUGAAAGAGGAAGUAUGCAAACUGAUAGUGUGAUUGCGGUUUGAACAUAGGGUGGGGUGUUAGAUAAUAUCAUUUAUAUAACUUGCUUAUUUAAAGACUCUGUUGCACAUUCUUGACUCAUUGUAAUCAAUAAGUAGAGCUUCAACUGAGAACUCAUCUGAAUCCUCGUCUUUCCUUCUUCCCAUUGACGACCACGCGGGAAAAGGGUUAAAGGUAAAUAAUACCAGUUAGUACCUUCUUUAUUGUGUUUGGGAAAUUAGACAUAAAAGUACUCCUUAAUGUGAAAGGGAAAAACCACCCUUUUUUCAACACAGUGAAGACAUCUGACAUAGCCCCUAUGCGCAGUCAUGCAGCACAGGACCAGCAAUGUUGUGAGGACCAGCAGCCUUGCGGGUGUUGAUGCUGGAGAGUGUCCUCAUCACAUCCGCUGUAGACAGACACAGAGCCUUGUAGCACCCUAUAAUGUAAUAAUUUACUGAAAAUGUAAUAAAACCCAGUAAUGUAAUAAAAUAGUCUGACUGAUAUUGUAAUAACAUUUUUACCUAUAAUGUAAUGCCUCAUUACAUUAUUGAGAAUUUAUCACAUUUUUAGGAGUUUAUUUGUUUGUUUGUUUGUUUGUUUUCAAAAUUGAUAAUGUUAUACUUGACAGAUAAUGUAAUAUAUAUGUUCAUUUUCAGUCCAGAGUUCUACAUUAUGUGUUUUGAGAAUCUAAGAGUGUUAUAGACACUAGAUUUGAAACAACAAAAUGACUAUUGGGUUAAAUUGCACACCUUGAGUACCAUACAGCCAUAUGCAGGGACAUGCAACUACAUCCUGGUCCUACUGAGUGGGUUAUGGACGUUGGACCUUGGGAGACUUAGAACACAGAUUUCCAGCAAAUCACUAUCUCAUGAAAACAACCACAAACAAACAAAACAACUUUCAGUAACACUUCAUUUGGACAAGAAAAUACAUGGGCAUUCCUAACACCUGCAUACACAUCACAUGACACUCAACAUAAACAUAGGCCGAUAUAUCCACUCAGCUGAUGGGGCUCUGCUCUGUCUCUAGCAAAACCUGAAACGACUCUGCUCACGCCACACACACACACUAGGGGUGCAAUAGAUCAAAAAACAUAUGGUUCAGACCAUUUCUCGGAUCAGAGUCAUGGGCCAGAUCACUUUUCGGAUCAGCAAAAAACACACUCUGUCUGUCGUGAGCGCAACAGAGGGAUAGUUCAUCCACAACUUUUUUCUUCUGCUGAAGUGCGUGCGUGACGUGAUGUGGCAAUGUGGCUCAAGCACUUUCAGCAUGCGUUUAAAGCCCUCUGCAGCUAUAAACACACUGAUAGUGAUUGGGUUGUGCAUCAAGGGGCUGCUUAAAUGCUGUGGUGAUAAACAGUUUUUAUGCAAUCGCUUAUCAAAAAAAAAGGUCAUAUUACCUUCUUGUGCCACAGUGCCUGUACACACCGUCACUGUUUUAUCUGCUAACCUUUUUCCUUCAUUGUUAUAUUUGACAAGAAAGCCAAAAUGCUCCCACACAGGGGAUUUAAAUGAUGGAGGGCACUCAAGCUCCUCUGUUCCUCCACUCGCCAUGAGCAUGCUGCUCUUAACUAGUGUGUGGACUGAACAUGUGCACUUUUAAUUUUUUUCAUAAAUCAUUUCACGGAUCAUGUGUGUGCCAAACCGAAGAUAUUGAUCUGAACGGAUCAUGGACCAAUGAUGAUCCGUUGCACCACUAACACACACACACACACACACACACACACACACACACACACACACACACUCAAGCAGCAGUGCCCAGUUCUCAUGAUUAUUGAGCCACACUCAGACAAUCAGAAAUUUCUGCCUUUAAAGAUGAGAAACAUGCAAAAUGAUCAUGUCAAUUUUAUUGAAGUUCUGUGAUUUUUCAUUUAUACAAGUAAAUCUCACAAAGUGCCAGUACGGCAGUAUGUCAACUGACCACUAUGCCACUUGACAUAGAGUAAGAUGUCAAAUUGACAUUGAAAUUGAUUUAAUAACCAUUUAUGAGUGGAUAUGUAGGCCUAUGUUUAUGUUGGACACCAUGUGAUGUGUACACAGGUGUUAUGAAUGCUUAUGUAUAUUCUCUUCAAAUGAAGUGUUUCUAAAAGUUGUUUUGUUGGUUUGCGGUUGUUUUUAUGAGGUAGUGAUUUGUUGGAAAUCUGUGAAGUGAAGAGGUUCAUUUAGGGAAGAAUUACCUGGGGUCUCCAGUGCUGCUCAGGAUCUGAGCUGGAAUUGUAGUCUCCCAAGGUCCAAGGUCCAUAACCCACUCAGUAGGACCAGGAUGUAGUUGCAUGUGUGAUACUCAAGGUCUGCAAUUUAACCCAAUAGUCAUUCUGUUGUUUCAAAGCUAGUGCAUACAACACUUUUAGACUCUCAAAACACAUAAUGUAGAACUCUGGACUGAAAAUGAAUGUAUAUAUUACAUUAUCUGUCAAGUAUAACAUUAUCAGUUUUCAAAACAAAACAAAACAAAAAAAACUCCUGAAAAUGUAAUAAAUUCCCAAUAAUGUAUUAAGGUAUUACAUUAUAGGUAAAAAUGUUAUUACAAUAUCAGUCAUAUUAUUUUAUUACAUUAAUGGGUUUUAUCACAUUUUCAAUCGCAUUAAGUGCUAAUUUUUAUUACAUUUUCAGGCGUUAUUACGUUUUCAGGAAAUUAUUUCAUUAUAGGGUGCUACAGUAGUUCAAGCUUAGGGGGUAUAUGGGCAAAGGAUUUAUGCAGGUAUGUGUCCAGACAGGCCUUAACAUCUGAUCAUUAGUUUGAAUCACAUUUGUUUGGGAUGGGCUUGAGAUGGGCUAAUCUAAAACAAAACAACAAAAGCAACAACAAAAAUUUUACCCUAAUGCAGGGGUUUGUGGUCCUGCUGCUAAACAACUUGAAUGAUUUUCAUGUCAUUGUCUUCAAUAAUAAUAUUGUCUUCAAUUGUCUCCAGCACCUUAUUGUUUUCAGUGAAUAGAGCAAGUCAAAUAAACCUCAAGUUGCAAGAUUGUUUUUAGAGUGACCUUUAAUAAACCUGUGCAUGUACAGGUACAUAAGGUUUGUAAGCAUUUGUAAGUUUGUAAGAUGAGCUUAUCACUGAUAUUUAAUUAAUGGUUAAUUUGAUAGUCAUGGAGGGGUGGUACAGUGGUGAAGUGGUUAACACUGUCGCUUCACAGCAAGAAGGUCCUGGGUUCGAAUCCGGGUCAGGGUGUUUCUGUGUGGAGUUUUCCUGUUCUCCCUGUGUCUACGUGGGUUUACUCCAGGUACUCUGGUUUCCUCCCACAUCCCAAAAACAUGCAGAAGUGGGUUGAGGAUAAUUCGUCACUUACAAAUUGCCCAUAUGUGUGAAUAUCAGUGUGGAUGGUUGUUCGUCUCUAUAUGUCAGCCCUGCGAUGAGCUGGUGACUUGUUCAGGGUGUCCCCUGCCUUCGCUGCCUUGCUGGAAUAGGCUGCAGCCCAACCCC